rnacentral:rRNA from 1 species
UACGUAGGGCGCAAGCGUUAUCCGGAAUUAUUGGGCGUAAAGAGCUCGUAGUCGGUUUGUCGCGUCUGCCGUGAAAGUCCGGGGCUUAACUCCGGAUCUGCGGUGGGUACGGGCAGACUAGAGUGCAGUAGGGGAGACUGGAAUUCCUGGUGUAGCGGUGAAAUGCGCAGAUAUCAGGAGGAACACCGAUGGCGAAGGCAGGUCUCUGGGCUGUAACUGACGCUGAGGAGCGAAAGCAUGGGGAGCGAACAGGAUUAGAUACC